rnacentral:rRNA from 1 species
CGUAGGAAUCUACCUAGUAGUGGGGGACAACUCGGAGAAACUCGAGCUAAUACCGCAUACGCCCUACGGGGGAAAGCGGGGGACCUUCGGGCCUCGUGCUAUUAGAUGAGCCUGCGUUGGAUUAGCUAGUUGGUGGGGUAAUGGCCCACCAAGGCGACGAUCCAUAGCUGGUCUGAGAGGAUGAUCAGCCACACCGGGACUGAGACACGGCCCGGACUCCUACGGGAGGCAGCAGUGGGGAAUAUUGCGCAAUGGGCGAAAGCCUGACGCAGCCAUGCCGCGUGUGUGAAGAAGGCCUUCGGGUUGUAAAGCACUUUCAAUUGGGAGGAAAGGUUCACGGCUAAUACCCGUGAGCUGUGACGUUACCUUUAGAAGAAGCACCGGCUAACUCCGUGCCAGCAGCCGCGGUAAUACGGAGGGUGCGAGCGUUAAUCGGAAUUACUGGGCGUAAAGCGCGCGUAGGUGGUCUGUUAAGUCGGAUGUGAAAGCCCCGGGCUCAACCUGGGAACUGCACCCGAUACUGGCAGACUAGAGUGCGGGAGAGGGA